GCUAUACACAUAUAUGAAAAGUCAACUAAUGCGUGUAGAAUCUUACAUUUUUAUAGGAUCGAUUUUUUAUUUCAAGAAUCGAUUCACUGCAUUAAUUGAAGCUGUAAGAUCGACCUAAAAAAAUCGAGAAUCGAAUAUAAAAGAAUCGAUUCUUUAAGAUCGCCCACCCCUAAUUCCUAGGCAUCGGCUGAUAUGAGUGUGUCCGAUUGAAAAUGUGCACAUCUGGGACGCUUCCGAAAUCACGCAGCGAAAGAAAUUAUUAGUGACAUAACUAGAAGUAAUGAAGACCUAUUCAUCUCAAAAUAUUUCAAAAACUACACUGAAUGCAACUUUACGACUGAGCAUAAAAGCUAAGCCAGCUUUGAGAGUUAAGUCCGCUUGAAGACGUCCAAAGUGAUGAGCUGCAAUUCAUCGAAGAGUAUGAGUCAUUAAAUGAAUCUGCAUUUAAUGAAGUUAGAGUCUACAUAUCAAAUUUUGCAGGAAAAAACAUCUUUAAUCAUAGAAACUACAAAUCACAAUUCAAAGUAAUGAAGUUGAUAAAGAGAAUAUAAAUGGUGGAAAUGGUAACUAUACGUUUUAAAUGUGAUAUUAGAUAAGUUUUCUGAAAAUGUUAUAGUUGACUAAAUGACGUUUAUUUAUGGGA